UUUCCCCUAUAAGGAGUCUAGCCUGCUCACUGACAGAAUGUUAAAUAGCCGCGGUAUUUUGACCGUGCAAAGGUAGCAUAAUCAUUAGUUUUUUAAUUGAAAACUUGUAUGAAUGGUUGGACAAAGAAAAAGCUGUCUCUUCUAUUAAAAUUGAAAUUAACUUCUAAGUGAAAAGGCUUAGAUUUUCUAGAGGGACGAUAAGACCCUAUAAAGCUUUAUAGAUUGAGUGGAUUAAACCAAUUUUUUAGAAUAAAAGUAAAUUUGGAAGAUUUAUUUGGUUGGGGCGACAAAUGUAUAAUGUUAAAUAACUGCUAUUAAAUUUAAACAAUUAUAUUUGAUAAAAAUUUAAAUGAUCCUUAAUAAAGAUUAAAAGAUCAAGUUACUUUAGGGAUAACAGCGUAAUUUCUUUUAAGAGUUCUUAUCAAAGAAGGAGUUUGCGACCUCGAUGUUGAAUUAAAAUGUCUUUAUAGUGCAGCAGCUAUAAAAGAAGGUCUGUUCGACCUUUAAUUUUUUACGUGAUCUGAGUUCAGACCGGGGGGGGAAACAAAGGGAGGGGGGGGAUUUUUGG
rnacentral:rRNA from 1 species